GUAAAUGCAAAGAAAGAGAGUAGUAGAUCAAAACCCGCCAAUUAGGGAGAAGGUGCCAUAGACUGGAAGCACUUUUUUGGAAUGGCUUGAUUGAAUUCACUCUGGAGCAGACACUCAAAAGGUGUUCCGGUUUAGUCCGUUAGUUCAAUGAAGAUGCUGUUGAGUUUCUUUUUAUACAGCAAUAAGGGUGGUACCGCGAACCUUCGUCCCUUGA
rnacentral:ncRNA from 1 species